rnacentral:rRNA from 1 species
CCUACGGGAGGCAGCAGUAGGGAAUCUUUCACAAUGGGCGAAAGCCUGAUGGAGCAACGCCGCGUGCAGGAUGAAGGCCUUCGGGUUGUAAACUGCUUUUAUAAGCGAGAAAUAUGAUGGUAACUUAUGAAUAAGGAUCGGCUAACUACGUGCCAGCAGUCGCGGUAAUACGGAGGAUGCGAGCGUUAUCCGGAUUUAUUGGGUUUAAAGGGUGCGCAGGCGGGAGAUCAAGUCAGCGGUAAAAUGUCGGGGCUCAACCCCGGCCGGCCGUUGAAACUGGUUUUCUAGAGUUGGAGAGAAGUAUGCGGAAUUCGUGGUGUAGCGGUGAAAUGCAUAGAUAUCACGAAGAACUCCGAUUGCGAAGGCAGCAUACCGGCUCCAUACUGACGCUGAGGCACGAAAGCGUGGGGAUCGAACAGGAUUAGAUACCCGGGUAGUC